AGAGAUUGAACAUAAGAGUUUGAUCCUGGCUCAGAUUGAACGCUGGCGGCAUGCUUUACACAUGCAAGUCGGACGGCAGCACAGAGAAGCUUGCUUCUCGGGUGGCGAGUGGCGAACGGGUGAGUAACAUAUCGGAACGUAC
rnacentral:rRNA from 1 species